AUGCUUGCUCCAGCAGCACAUACAGUAAAAUCGCAACAAUCCAGAGAAGAUUAGCAUGGCCCCUGUGGAAGGAUGACAUGCAAAUUCAUAAAGCAUUCCAUAUUUUU
ensembl:snRNA U6 U6 spliceosomal RNA